AUUGAACGCUAGCGGGAUGCCUUACACAUGCAAGUCGAACGAGUGGCGGACGGGUGAGUAAUAUCUGGGAACGUGCCCGAUGGAGGGGGAUAACUACUGGAAAGGGUGGCUAAUACCGCAUACCAUCGGAGCGGCCCAUAUCGGAUUAGCUUGUUGGUGGGGUAACGGCUAACCAAGGCAACGAUCCGUAGCUGGUCUGCGAGGAGGACCAGCCACACUGGGACUUAGACACGGCCCAGCCUCCUACGGGAGGCAGCAGUUGGGAAUUUUGGACAAUGGGGUAAACCCGGAUCCAGCCAUCCCGCGUGUAUGAUGAAGGCCUUCGGGUUGUAAAGUACUUUCAGCGGAGAGGCGUUAUCUGCAGAAUAAGCACCGGCUAACUACGUGCCAGCAGCCGCGGUAAUUC
rnacentral:rRNA from 1 species